rnacentral:rRNA from 1 species
UACGAAGGGGGCUAGCGGUGUUCGGAAUUACUGGGCGUAAAGAGCGCGUAGGCGGCUUUAUAAGUUAGGUGUGAAAGCCCCGGGCUUAACCUGGGAACAGCACUUAAUACUGUAAAGCUAGAGUGUGAUAGAGGAUGAUGGAAUUCCUAGUGUAGAAGUGAAAUUCGUAGAGAUUAGGAGGAACACCAGUGGCGAAGGCGGUCAUCUGGGUCACAACUGACGCUAAGGCGCGAAAGAGUGGGGAGCGAACAGG